rnacentral:rRNA from 1 species
AGCGAACGCUGGCGGCAGGCUUAACACAUGCAAGUCGAGCGGGCCCUUCGGGGUCAGCGGCGGACGGGUGCGUAACGCGUGGGAACGUGCCUUCUGGUUCGGAAUAACUCAGGGAAACUUGAGCUAAUACCGGAUACGCCCUUUUGGGGAAAGGUUUACUGCCGGACGAUCGGCCCGCGUCUGAUUAGCUAGUUGGUGGGGUAACGGCCUACCAAGGCGACGAUCAGUAGCUGGUCUGAGAGGAUGAUCAGCCACACUGGGACUGAGACACGGCCCAGACUCCUACGGGAGGCAGCAGUGGGGAAUAUUGGACAAUGGGCGCAAGCCUGAUCCAGCCAUGCCGCGUGAGUGAUGAAGGCCUUAGGGUUGUAAAGCUCUUUUAUCCGGGACGAUAAUGACGGUACCGGAGGAAUAAGCCCCGGCUAACUUCGUG